GAUAAUGGUCUCAUAUUUCAAUCACCCUAUGAUGUUGUUCUUCAUAUUGAUGAGAAUAAGAAAUGAAUAUGUGAUGGUCACAUAUCUCUGGCAUUGCCAACUUGGCCAUUUUGUGAGUCAAAGAUAAAUAAGUAAUACAAAGAAGAGUUCUUUGUCUGUAUGAUUUUGAAUCAUAUAUAACUUGUAAAUCUUGUCUUAUGGGUAAAAUGACCAAGAUCUUAUUUACUUGACAUGAUAAUAAGGUGAGCAAGAUAUUAGAUCUUGAACAUAUGGAUGUUCAAAGGCUAAUAAUAUCUCGACCC
rnacentral:lncRNA from 1 species